rnacentral:rRNA from 1 species
UAAUACGAAGGGUGCAAGCGUUACUCGGAAUUACUGGGCGUAAAGCGUGCGUAGGUGGUGAGUUAAGUCUGAUGUGAAAUCCCCGGGCUCAACCUGGGAAUGGCAUUGGAUACUGGCUCGCUAGAGUGCGGUAGAGGGUGGUGGAAUUCCCGGUGUAGCAGUGAAAUGCGUAGAGAUCGGGAGGAACAUCUGUGGCGAAGGCGGCCACCUGGACCAACACUGACACUGAGGCACGAAAGCGUGGGGAGCAAACAGGAUUAGAUACCCUGGUAGUCCACGCCCUAAACGAUGCGAACUGGAUGUUGGGUGCAACUUGGCACUCAGUAUCGAAGCUAACGCGUUAAGUUCGCCGCCUGGGGAGUACGGUCGCAAGACUG